GAUGAAGAACGCAGCGAAAUGCGAUAAGUAAUGUGAAUUGCAGAAUUCAGUGAAUCAUCGAAUCUUUGAACGCACAUUGCGCCCGCCAGUAUUCUGGCGGGCAUGCCUGUUCGAGCGUCAUUACAACCCUCAGGCCCCCGGGCCUGGCGUUGGGGAUCGGCGGAGCCCCCCGUGGGCACACGCCGUCCCCCAAAUACAGUGGCGGUCCCGCCGCAGCUUCCCUCGCGUAGUAGCUAACACCUCGCGACUGGAGAGCGGCGCGGCCACGCCGUAAAACACCCAACUCUUCUGAAGUUGACCUCGAAUCAGGUAGGAAUACCCGCUGAACUUAAGCAUAUCAAUAAGCGGAGGA
rnacentral:misc_RNA from 1 species